CGGAUAGAGCCAGCGAAGUCGCUUGUAUUCAGCCAAAGACCUGGGGCUACCCGCCGUCGUGUUUUUAAUCGAGCACGGCGGUUGUCUCUGCUCCAGGCCGAGGUGCAUUUGCAGGCGUUUGCGCUGAGACUUGCGAGGCAGCUUCUGGACCGGCACUUAGAGGCUUCCCUUUGGGUUGAACCUGGGUGUCGUUACAGCUGUUUGCCCUGCUCGUACUGGUCCGGCUUACGAACCUGGGCUGUGUUGUUGUCAACUGGCCAAGGCAUCGCAUGCGAUGUCUAGUCUGGGGGCGGCGGCAUGGCACUGUGUUCCCGGACCGCCUCUCGGUGUAGAAGCUGGUCAUCUCUCCGACCCGUCUUGAAACACGGACCAAGGAGUUUAGCGUAUGCGCGAGUCAUUGGGUGUUCAAACCCACAGGCGCAAUGAAAGUAAAGGCUCGGUCGCCGGGCUGACAUGCGAGUGCCGCGGCUUCGGCCCAGGCAUGCAGCAUGGUCCCGUUGCAGCCGCUUGCGGCGCAGCGGAGACAGAGCGUAUGCGCUGAG
rnacentral:rRNA from 1 species